ensembl:rRNA 5S_rRNA 5S ribosomal RNA
AUUUACACUACCUUGAGAACGCCCGAUCUCGUCUGAUCUCAGAAGCUAAGCAGGGUCGGGCCUGGUUAGUCCUUGGAUGGGAUACCGCCUGGGAAUACCAGGUGCUGUAAGCC